GACGAACGCUGGCGGCGUGCUUAACACAUGCAAGUCGAACGGAAAGGCCCUGCUUUUGUGGGGUGCUCGAGUGGCGAACGGGUGAGUAACACGUGAGUAACCUGCCCUUGACUUUGGGAUAACUUCAGGAAACUGGGGCUAAUACCGGAUAGGAGCUCCUGCUGCAUGGUGGGGGUUGGAAAGUUUCGGCGGUUGGGGAUGGACUCGCGGCUUAUCAGCUUGUUGGUGGGGUAGUGGCUUACCAAGGCUUUGACGGGUAGCCGGCCUGAGAGGGUGACCGGCCACCUUGGGACUGAGAUACGGCCCAGACUCCUACGGGAGGCAACAGUGGGAAAUAUUGCACAAUGGGCGCGAGCCUGAUACGAAAGCGCCGCGUGCGGGAUGACGGCCUUCGGGUUGUAAACCGCAUUCGCCUGUGACGAAGCGUGAGUGACGGUAAUGAGUAAAGAAGCACCGGCUAACUACGUG
rnacentral:rRNA from 1 species